rnacentral:rRNA from 1 species
UUUUAGUGGCGGACGGGUGAGUAACGCGUGGAUAACCUGCCUCAUACAGGGGGAUAACAGUUGGAAAUGACUGCUAAUACCGCAUAAGCGCACGGGGUCGCAUGGUCUUGUGUGAAAAACUCCGGUGGUAUGAGAUGGAUCCGCGUCUGAUUAGCUAGUUGGCGGGGUAACAGCCCACCAAGGCGACGAUCAGUAGCCGGCCUGAGAGGGUGAACGGCCACAUUGGGACUGAGACACGGCCCAAACUCCUACGGGAGGCAGCAGUGGGGGAUAUUGCACAAUGGGGGAAACCCUGAUGCAGCGACGCCGCGUGAGUGAAGAGGUAUUUCGGUAUGUAAAGCUCUAUCAGCAGGGAAGAUAAUGACGGUACCUGACUAAGAAGCACCGACUAUAUUCGUGCCAGCAGCCGCGGUAAUACGUAUGGUGCAAGCGUUAUCCGGAUUUACUGGGUGUAAAGGGAGCG